CUUCUUCGCCAUCUUCUUCGUGCAUCGUCUUCGACACACCAUUUCCGACGCCACCUCCACCGCUCUACUACAAACCAACGCCACAAGAGCUUUCUUAUACACCGUUUCCGACGCCAUCUCCAUCUACUGAUUAGGUACAUUUGCAACUACCUAGGGUUUUAAAAUUGAGUUUCGAGUAGUUGUUUUUUAUUGCCUAGGGUUCUUACUGAUUUUCGAGUAGUUGUUUAGGAUUUCUUUUCCAGGUUUCAAUUGUUUAAAGUAGACACUAUAUUCAUUACAAUAAAAUUUCAUAUUGUUCUGUUCUAAUUCAAGGAUAGUUCUAAUUCAAGGAUAGUCAUGGUAAUGCUUAGGGGUGCAUCAUAUUUGUCAUACAUAGCUUUCCACAACAUCAUAUUUGUCAUACAUAAACACAACAACCAUUCAUUAUGAUUUAUUACAGAGGGAGAGAUGAGAUCAGAAUUUAGUGAAAGUUGUGUUUUUUUUAUUAAGGUACAUUAUAUCUGUUCAUUAGGUACAUUAUUUUAAUCCACAGGGUACCCUCUUUUUAUGCAUGAUUUAUUUUGUACAUUUUGUAGUGCAUGGAGUUUAUUCUUUUAGUGAAUAUCUUAUUUCUUUGUAGAGCAUAACUGGAUUUAUUCGGCACACCCCACCCCCUCUCUACCUAGAAAUCUGAUAUUCACUAAACAUAAUAUCAAUGGCUGAGUACACUAUUACUAUUUUAAUUCAUGAUUUUAUGAACACUUUUAGUGAAUAGAGCAUCGCUGGAUUUAUUCCCUUAACUAACAUUUUACUUGCAGCAACUAUGUCUAGCCAAGAAGUAGAUUUAUCAUUAAAAGAGGUUACCAAAACCUACCGGAAAAAGAAAAGAUCUACAAGUAAUGAAGAAGACGGAAAUAAAGAAAAGGCCACUAAUAGGACUGUAAAGAAAGAAAAGGCUCCAAAGAAAAUUCAGCUCAAUACUAGGAUGUCACCAAUGGAGUUUAACAAAAUGGUAGCAAAUCUCAGUGAUGAACAAAAAAUGCGGUUAAAGAGAUUGGGUUUGGAUCAUUACUCGAGCUUAGAUUGUCCAGCAUGGACAAUACACUAAAUACAUAUUUGGUAGAAAACUAUGAUGUUUUUAGUUGUUCCCUAAUGUUGGAGAGUGCAAAGAUGGAGCUCACAGAGGAUGAUGUGGAGAGCACAUUAGGUCUCUCCCAAAGGGUGAGGUUGAAGUUGUUGAAGGGAACAACUCAAAUGCAACUAAAGGAUACAAAACCUUGUUGGAGGAAUGGAGAACACGCUGGGAAUUAGACAAUUGUUCUCCAUUGGUGAAAAGACUUGGCCAUGGUAUAGUUGAGAAGAAAGACCACAGGGACAUGUUCAAAAGGGAUUUCGUGGUGUUUGUUGUUUCUAGUUUGUUCAAGGGUCACGUUAAUUGGACAACAAACUUCAAAAUUUUGUACUCAUUGGUAAACGUGAAAAACAUCAAGAAUUUGAAUUGGUGUAGGUACAUUUUUAAUAGUCUUACUACAACAGUGGAGAAAUGGAAGAAGUCAAAAAGUACAUUCUUCACUGGACCAUUGGUCUUCUUGAUGGUUUCAUACCUUGAUAGGAUGCAAUUUAAAGGGCAGCAAAUCCCAAGGAAAUACCCUGCGAUAUCAGUUUGGACAAUGGAUAUGAUCCAAAAAAGAUUAGUAGAUAAAAAGAAUUCUGGUGGGUAUGGCAGGGGAAAAGUCUUGGAUAGAGUUAGGAAAUCGGUUGCUGAGAUUGAAAACAACAACAUUGUUAGGGAUGGGGUGGAGGCACAGGCAGUUGGUGAUAAAGUUAAAAUGAGUGAUGUAGAGAAGAUAUCUAUGGGAAUGAAGAAACUGACUGCAGCCAUAGUUGAAUUUGGGGAAGUAAUGGCUGAAGUUGGGAGCAAAAACACCGGACAAGAAAUUAUAAAGAAGACUUUCAGCAAGAUGUCUGAUAUGUUGAACAUUGCUUCAACUUCCCAGCCUGACAAGACUUCGACAUUAUUGGACGAUGAUCCAAUCUUCAGCAGCGAGAGCUUUCUUGCAGCAGUUGCAUCAUUGGAAAAGGCAGCAGUAGAAGCAUUGGAAAAGGCCACCAGAAUCACCGAAGAACCUGAAACAUUUUCACCACCAAGCUUCAAUUUGUUAACACCUACCCCCCGGAUAUUCAAAAACCAAACGAAACAGCUACCACACUCCCUAGUGAGGAAAGAAGCACAGAAAAGGAACAAACAUUGUUUGACAUUGCACUUGAGGAAUCAGAGAGGGAGAAUGUCCAACAUGGGGAGAGAGAGAAAAGAAAAUUGAAAAAUGUUCUAUUGCGAUUUAUGUCUCCAUAUUGGACGCAAAACAAUGAAAAGUUCUCCUUUGUCUCUACGAGAGAGAAGAUGCUGUUUGAUUUUGCAUUCAUGAACCCCUCUAUUCAACAUCCAAUAGAAUGGAAAUUGAUGAUGCUACUGAACGGAAAAAAGUAUUAUCUGCAGAGGAAAAACAAAGACGAUUCAAUGAAUGUUUGGAUUAUGAGCUUA